rnacentral:tRNA from 1 species
ACAGUGGUUGUUCAGCGGUAGAACUCCUGCCUUACAUGCAGGAGAUCCGGGUUCAAUUUCUGGCCAAUGUG